CAGCCGCCGCGGGAAUACGUAGGGUGCAAGCGUUAAUCGGAAUUACUGGGCGUAAAGCGUGCGCAGGCGGUUUUGUAAGUCUGUCGUGAAACCCCCGGGCUCAACCUGGGAAUGGCGAUGGAGACUGCAAGGCUAGAAUCUGGCAGAGGGGGGUAGAAUUCCACGUGUAGCAGUGAAAUGCGUAGAUAUGUGGAGGAACACCGAUGGCGAAGGCAGCCCCCUGGGCUAAGAUUGACGCUCAUGCACGAAAGCGUGGGGAGCAAACAGGAUUAGAUACCCCCGUAGUCCCUGUCUCUUAUAC
rnacentral:rRNA from 1 species